UACGGGGGGGGCAAGCGUUGUUCGGAAUUACUGGGCGUAAAGGGCGUGCAGGCGGUCUGUUAAGUGCAGGGUGAAAGCUCCCGGCUCAACUGGGAGAGGUCCUUGCAUACUGGCGGACUUGAGGGGGGUAGAGGAAAGUGGAAUUCCCGGUGUAGUGGUGAUAUGCGUAGAUAUCGGGAGGAACACCUGUGGCGAAGGCGGCUUUCUGGGCCCUACCUGACGCUGAGACGGCGAAAGCGUGGGGAGCGAACCGGG
rnacentral:rRNA from 1 species